GACGAACGCUGGCGGCGUGCCUAAUACAUGCAAGUCGACCAGUGGCGAACGGGUGAGUAACACGUGAGUAACCUGCCCUCCACUUUGGGAUAACUCCGAGAAAUCGGGGCUAAUACUGGAUAGUUGGGGAUGGGCUCGCGGCCUAUCAGUUUGUUGGUGAGGUAGUGGUCCCCAAGGGGUGACGGGUAGCCGGCCGGAGAGGGGGACCGGCCACACGGGGACUGAGACACGGACCAGACUCGUACGGGAGGCAGUAGUGGGGAAUAUGGCGCAAUGGGCGAAAGCCUGAUGCAGCGACGCCGCGUGGGGGAUGACGGCCUUCGGGUUGGAAACCUCUGUCAGCAAGGAAGCGGUACUUGCAGAAGAAGCGCCGGCUAACUACGUGCCAGCAGCCGCGGUAAUUC
rnacentral:rRNA from 1 species